AGAUAGAUAUAGAUAAUAAGUGAGAGUUCAGUUGGACGACGAAGGGUAACUUCGAAAAUUCACUUUUGAGUCCAUAUCUAAUGUUCUAUGCAUUUUAAAUGCUCUAUCAGAUUAGUACGUGUCAAAUUCUAAACACCACGUAGGGUUAAAAUCAUUCUUCUGGCUUCUUCUCUCAUAUUUUCAGUUCUCACUCCAUUUCUCUCCCAUUUUGCUUUUUUUUUUCCUCCCUCUAAACACCACCAGGUUGUUGUUCUACUUUUCCUCCUUCCAUGUUUACUCUCUUUAUUUUUGCUGGGAUGGACCAAACAAUUGGAAGGUUCUAAAUACACAAAGAGAACUGCAUAUAAAUUGCUUGAUACUAAUCCUCGACCGCCUCAUACUGAGAGCCAUGCAUGUUCUUAUUACCGUGACUGCUAACCGUCUUGACUAGGCCUACGUAAGUCCUAUUUAUGUAUCAUUUUGUCGAUACCAUGCUUUUUUCAUAAGGUAAGGUUAAUACCAUGUUUCUGGAUAUUCUUUGUUCAUUUUACAUUGUGAGUUAAUUGUCAGUCCUGGUGUGCUAAAUUCUAAUAUCUGAUCAAUUUCUUAUGUAAGAUAAACAUGGUAAAAGGUCCUACAGAAUAAAAAGGAGAUAUACUUUUGGUUUGGUUGUACAGUUUGCUGUACCAUCUUAGUUAUGCUUUUGUGAAUAAAAUUUCUAUCUUAUUGAUUAAAGAAAGGGAAAAAAAGAGUAACAUGGUAACAUGAAAUACCGUGAAGAGUGCAAAUAUUCAGUAUCAUCUCCUCCACCAUCUAUUAUAUUGUGAAACAUUAAACACUUUGUUGAAACUAAUAUUAGGAAAAUUUAUAUGGUGUUUACAUUACCAAACAACAACAACAACAUACCCAGUGUGAUCCCAUAAGUAAGGUAUUUGCAUCACCGGGUUCAAAUAUCGAUAAAUUGCAGCUGGCGGCAAGGAUUACUCUAUCUAAUCUUAACAAGAACACCAAAAAUGUUAUCCUUAAAGAGAUGUACAUCAAUGUUAGUGAAAGAUCAAUAUUGAACUAUGUUGUGCACAUUCAAAUUCAUUUAAAAGAAAGAGCUUUAUCAUUUGUAAAAAUUUAUCGGAGGUAAAUGUGAACUGAAUAUAAUUUAAGAUUUUAAUUAGUACUGUUUAUUGAAGUCUUGAAUUAGAAAAAGGAACGCGUAGACGAUACAGAGACAUACAUUGGAUCUUCGCCAGGUUGCAUCCUUUUCUUGAACUUAUGUCCAACUUUCAUUUGUUAGAAUAAAACACCUUUCACUAUAUCAACCUUGAUAUGUUCUCUCUAAAGGUGGAUGGUCCAUGGAUGGUAAGGACAUCUCUCUUCCUUCUUUUCCACCUAGCAUUUGUCAUUCCAUUUUAAAAAUAGAUAUUACUACAAUUUUUGGGGGUGUGAAAUGGUGAACUAUCCUGUAUUGGCAGUAUUCGAUGUCAAUAACCAAGAUAAGAACGAGAUAAAGGUGAGUUAUAUUCUCUGUGCAAAUUUUGGAACUCUUUAUUUUCACCUUAUUGGUAAGUCAAUUUGUUAUUUCUUGUGUGGUGUUUCAAUUCUGUUUGAAAUGUUCAAUUAAAUAUGCUAACUGUCUUCAAUUAUAUUCGUGGGUUUAGAGCUUGACUCUUCUUAUUAAAGAUUUAUCUUGAUUUUUCCUGGCAAUUUAUUCUAAUACUUGGGACACUAAUUGCUAGUAUUGAUUAUUUUCGUGUAUCAUAUGUUAUCUUGGUGAAUCAAAGGAGAGUUUAAUAUUGCACUGUUGUAAUGGUGAUAGAUUAUUAUUACAAUCUUUGUUUCCAGUUUCUCUUUCAUGUCCAAAACAAUACAAGUUAAUAGCUUUAGGAAAAGGGGGAAGAACUUUAAUUUGAUGGAUGAAUUAUCUGAAGAAUAUUCUUUUACACUAAUAGUUGCAUUUUAUCUAGAAUGUGAACCUUGAUCAAGAUGCAAUUUCAAUAAAACUAUUUAUAUGCUAAUGUAUACAUAAGGUUAUGACCACUAUAACCAAAGGUGUUUUAGUAUGACAUUAUUUCCAGUAGCUUGUCAUGUUAGAUAUUUCUUGUAGUUCUUCGCCUGAACAUUUUUAGUUGUACUACUCUUCCUCCCUUUACUAGAAAAAUCAUUCUCUGAAUUUACUAGCACUAGAAUUAGAUGUGCGUAUUCACUCUUUGUACACUAGAUCAAUCGUUCACAUGAUUAAACAUUUUAAUAGGAGUUAAAGUCAUGUAAUGCAUUUGUCACUUUAAAUAUAUUCUAAUUCUCAAACUACCUAAACUCCAUACAUGUUAAUGAUCACAUUGAUGUGGCGCAGACUUUUUGAAUAUGCCACUUUAUGUAGGUAUGAGGAAAGCCUACUGAAUUAUUUGCUAUUUGUGAACCUGACAUAGGACAUCUAUUCAUUUAUAGGAAAAAGCUUCGUAGAAACUUUAUGGUGAAGAUUUAUGAUCCAAAUAGACUAUUACUUAAAUUUAAAUAUUUAAGCUUGACCUUUUGAUCCACACGACCUCCCAGGUUCUAAACUUUGUGAUGGCAUAUAUUAGGCACUUUGUAUGACGCUGGUUUAGCAAAUGGAAUAUGCACUGUUAGCUCACUUGCAGUUUGAAAUAGCACCUCCAGUAAAUGCAUCUUUUCGAAGGUAUCCUCUUGCGACUCAACUCUUAAUGAAGUAGUCUGUUCACCGGAGAAGUUUAUUGGUUAACUAUUCUUCUUUUGCAUAUUUUGUCUAAAACAAGAUGGUUGGACGAUAUUCGGUAUUCAAUCAUCAAUUUUUCAAUCCAAAGAUAUUACAUCUUGCUCCUAGCAAAAAAUGUGGUAAAGUCAUAAUGUGUGAAAGUAUUUGACAUGCAGGAGUUGAUCUCUCCUUUGCUGCAAAUUGAGAAUUGAAUUAUUUUCGGCUGACUGGAAUGGACUCUUUAAGGUCCAUGAUUUUUGCUUGGUAUUCACGGGCAUUCUUUUGUAGGUUCCGCGUCACUUGGUUAAUGUGAUCCGCAUGUUGUUCGGUUUCUGCUCUGGGUUUGUAAAUAAUCUGGUUUUGUAUGAGUGAUGCUCUUAACAACAGUGCUAUAUUGUAGCUUCACACUUUGUGUACAAAUUUUUCCUGUCACUUAGAAUGUAGCUGUAUCUUUUUUCGAGUUGAAUAUAACUAUAUUGACUUGGAAAGAAAUUGAUCUGCACGUACUGGUUUCACAGGCACAUGAGAAAACGACUGCACAAAGCUAAUCAGGCCUUUCUUCAGUUGAAGCAACAAGGGGAGGGAUUAGUGAAAAUUACAACAUUUUCUUAUAUAAAUAGAUUUUGACAACAAUAGAUUUUGGCAUUCUUCUUCUAGUGAGGAACAUCUUGAAAUUGAACGUACGUGUAUGCUACUUUGGUUAGACAAAAAAAGGGACAUCGGGCACCCGUACCUAGCACGGGCACUCCAUCUAGUAAAGUACUAUUGAAUUUCUAGAUGAUCCCACAACAAAGCCUACUUUGUAAAUCAUACCAUUGAGGUCAACUUGGCCGACUCUUUUAAAAUUAAGGGCAAUUACUCACUCA